AUUGAACGCUGGCGGCAUGCCUUACACAUGCAAGUCGAACGGCAGCGCGGACUUCGGUCUGGCGGCGAGUGGCGAACGGGUGAGUAAUACAUCGGAACGUACCCUGUUGUGGGGGAUAACUAGUCGAAAGAUUAGCUAAUACCGCAUACGACCUGAGGGUGAAAGUGGGGGACCGCAAGGCCUCACGCAGCAGGAGCGGCCGAUGUCUGAUUAGCUAGUUGGUGGGGUAAAGGCCCACCAAGGCGACGAUCAGUAGCUAGUCUGAGAGGACGAUCAGCCACACUGGGACUGAGACACGGCCCAGACUCCUACGGGAGGCAGCAGUGGGGAAUUUUGGACAAUGGGGGCAACCCUGAUCCAGCAAUGCCACGUGUGUGAAGAAGGCCUUCGGGUUGUAAAGCACUUUUGUCCGGAAAGAAAUCGCGCUGGUUAAUACCUGGCGUGGAUGACGGUACCGGAAGAAUAAGCACCGGCUAACUACGUG
rnacentral:rRNA from 1 species